GUGAACGCUGGCGGUAGGCCUAACACAUGCAAGUCGAACGGCAGCACAGUAAGCGCUUGCUCUUACGGGUGGAGAGUGGCGGAAGGGUGAGGAAUACAUCGGAAUCUACUUUUUCGUGGGGGAUAACGUAGGGAAACUUACGCUAAUACCGCAUACGACCUACGGGUGAAAGCAGGGGCUCUUCGGACCUUGCGCGAUUGAAUGAGCCGAUGUCGGAUUAGCUAGUUGGCGGGGUAAAGGCCCACCAAGGCGACGAUCCGUAGCUGGUCUGAGAGGAUGAUCAGCCACACUGGAACUGAGACACGGUCCAGACUCCUACGGGAGGCAGCAGUGGGGAAUAUUGGACAAUGGGCGCAAGCCUGAUCCAGCCAUACCGCGUGGGUGAAGAAGGCCUUCGGGUUGUAAAGCCCUUUUGUUGGGAAAGAAAAGCAGCAGGUUAAUACCCCGAUGUUCUGACGGUACCCAAAGAAUAAGCACCGGCUAACUUCGUG
rnacentral:rRNA from 1 species